UACAGAGGUCCCAAGCGUUGUUCGGAUUCAUUGGGCGUAAAGGGUGCGUAGGUGGCGCCGUAAGUCGGGUGUGAAAUUUCGGAGCUUAACUCCGAAACUGCAUUCGAUACUGCGGUGCUUGAGGACUGGAGAGGAGACUGGAAUUCAUGGUGUAGCGGUGAAAUGCGCAGAUAUCAGGAGGAACACCGAUGGCGAAGGCAGGUCUCUGGGCAUUAACUGACGCUGAGGAGCGAAAGCAUGGGGAGCGAACAGG
rnacentral:rRNA from 1 species